rnacentral:lncRNA from 1 species
GCUUAAUGGUUCCAAUUCUAAGCUUGUGGAAGAUUGAGAGAUGCAUCAAGUUUAUGCUUGCUCCUAAGUCACACAAAGCCAUCCCAAAACGACCAUUGCCAAUAUUACACGGGAUAGUAAAGCUUCCAAGGUCAUCGAUCUUGUUGGCUAGCAUCUUUUGAAGAAUGAAACUACAUUCUUCGGUGAGGUUGACCAUCUCAAAUUCUUCCAAUUUCUUCUUCUUUGAUAUGACAUCCUUUAGAAAUUUUGCAUACUUAGGCAUUUGUUGCAAAGCUUCAACAAGGGGGAUGUUGAUGUGCACCUUCUGGA